UGGGGAAUAUUGGACAAUGGGCGAAAGCCUGAUCCAGCAAUACCGCGUGUGUGAAGAAGGCCUUAGGGUUGUAAAGCACUUUCAAUUGGAAGGAAAAAUUCGUGGCUAAUAUCCGCGAACUUGACAUUACCUUUAGAAGAAGCACCGGCUAACUCCGUGCCAGCAGCCGCGGUAAUACGGAGGGUGCAAGCGUUAAUCGGAAUUACUGGGCGUAAAGCGUGCGUAGGCGGCUCGUUAAGUCAGAUGUGAAAGCCCUGGGCUCAACCUGGGAACUGCAUUUGAAACUGGCGAGCUAGAGUUUAAGAGAGGUAAGUGGAAUUUCAGGUGUAGCGGUGAAAUGCGUAGAGAUCUGAAGGAACACCAGUGGCGAAGGCGACUUACUGGCUUAAAACUGACGCUG
rnacentral:rRNA from 1 species